rnacentral:rRNA from 1 species
UACGUAGGUGGCAAGCGUUGUUCGGAAUUAUUGGGCGUAAAGGGCGCGUAGGCGGUUUGCUAAGUCAGUUGUGAAAGCCCGGGGCUCAACCCCGGAGGGUCGGCUGAUACUGGUGGACUAGAGUACGGAAGAGGUAGCUGGAAUUCCCGGUGUAGUGGUGAAAUGCGUAGAUAUCGGGAGGAACACCAGUGGCGAAGGCGACUACCUGGCCUGUUCUUGACGCUGAGGCGCGAAAGCUAGGGGAGCAAACAGG